AUGCACAACCGCGCGCUGCUGCAGCUUCUCCUCCACCUCGCGGCGACUCCCCUGCUCCAGCUACUGAUGGCUGCUUCAUCCAUAGACGCACGCGCCCAUGUUGACUCGGGUGAGUCAAGCACCCUGACUCGACGCUGCUUUGGCCGCAACCACCUCGGGCCUUCAACCACGACGCCCGUCAUGGCCCUCCUCGCACUGCUGCUCCUUGUUUUCGUCUUCUGUCACGCCUGUCUCCUUCCCCAAUGCCCUUGCGAAGGCUGUUGCUGCAGGUCCACCAUGACACCAUCUCCGGAGCCCAAGUCCGAGGACUAA
rnacentral:rRNA from 1 species